ACACAUGCAAGUCGAGGGGCAUCAGGUAUCAGCUUGCUGAUACGCUGGCGACCGGCGCACGGGUGAGUAACGCGUAUGCAAUCUGCCUGUAACAGGGGGAUAACCCGGAGAAAUCCGGCCUAAUACCCCAUAAGGAUGUCUGUCCGCAUGGGCGGUCAUCUAAAGGUUUUCCGGUUACAGAUGGGCAUGCGUUCCAUUAGCUGGUUGGCGGGGUAACGGCCCACCAAGGCGACGAUGGAUAGGGGUUCUGAGAGGAAGGUCCCCCACACUGGUACUGAGACACGGACCAGACUCCUACGGGAGGCAGCAGUGAGGAAUAUUGGUCAAUGGGCGUAAGCCUGAACCAGCCAAGUCGCGUGAAGGAAGACAGCCCUACGGGUCGUAAACUUCUUUUGUAUGGGAGUAAAAGAGUCCACGCGUGGGCUAUUGCAAGUACCAUACGAAUAAGCAUCGGCUAACUCCGUGCCAGCAGCCGCGGUAAUACGGAGGAUGCGAGCGUUAUCCGGAUUUAUUGGGUUUAAAGGGUGCGUAGGCGGCCCUAUAAGUCAGCGGUGAAAUGUUCCGGCUCAACCGGGAAACUGCCGUUGAAACUGUAGAGCUAGAGUCCACAA
rnacentral:rRNA from 1 species